AGGAUGAACGCUGGCGGCGUGCUUAACACAUGCAAGUCACGGGGGCCCGAGGCGCAAGCCUGGGGCAACCGGCGAACGGGUGCGUAACACGUGAGCAACCUACCGAAUUGUGGGGGAUAGCCGGCCCAACGGCCGGGUAAUACCGCAUACGCUCGAGACGAGGCAUUUCGACUCGAGGAAACCUCCGGGGCAAUUUGAGGGGCUCGCGGCCUAUCAGCUAGUUGGUGAGGUAACGGCUCACCAAGGCAACGACGGGUAGC
rnacentral:rRNA from 1 species